UACGAAGGGGACUAGCGUUGUUCGGAAUUACUGGGCGUAAAGCGCACGUAGGCGGAUUUGUUAGUCAGGGGUGAAAUCCCGGGGCUCAACCUCGGAAACUGCCUUUGAUACUGCAAGUCUCGAGUCCGAUAGAGGUGGGUGGAAUUCCUAGUGUAGAGGUGAAAAUUCGUAGAUAUUAGGAAGAACACCGGUGGCGAAGGCGGCCCACUGGAUCGGUACUGACGCUGAGGUGCGAAAGCGUGGGGAGCAAAACAGG
rnacentral:rRNA from 1 species